UACGGGGGGGGCAAGCGUUGUUCGGAAUUACUGGGCGUAAAGGGCUCGUAGGUGGCCAACUAAGUCAGACGUGAAAUCCCCAGGCUCAACCUGGGAACUGCGUCUGAUACUGGAUGGCUUGAAUUCGGGAGAGGGAUGCAGAAUUCCAGGUGUAGCGGUGAAAUGCGUAGAUAUCUGGAGGAAUACCGGUGGCGAAGGCGGCAUCCUGGACCGAGAUUGACACUGAUGAGCGAAAGCUAGGGGAGCAAACGGG
rnacentral:rRNA from 1 species